rnacentral:rRNA from 1 species
AGAGCGAACGCUGGCGGCAGGCCUAACACAUGCAAGUCGAGCGCCCCGCAAGGGGAGCGGCAGACGGGAGAGUAACACGUGGGAACGUACCCUUCAGUUCGGAACAACCCAGGGAAACUUGGGCUAAUACCGAAUACGUCCGUAAGGAGAAAGAUUUAUCGCUGAAGGAUCGGCCCGCGUCUGAUUAGCUAGUUGGUGAGGUAACGGCUCACCAAGGCUACGAUCAGUAGCUGGUCUGAGAGGAUGACCAGCCACACUGGGACUGAGACACGGUCCAGACUCCUACGGGAGGCAGCAGUGGGGAAUCUUGCACAAUGGGCGAAAGCCUGAUGCAGCGACGCCGCGUGGGGAUGAAGCUUUUCGGAGUGUAAACCCCUUUCGACCCGGACGAAUGCCCCGCAAGGGGACUGGACGGUACGGGUAUAACGGAAGCCCCGGCUAACUACGUGCCAGCAGCCGC